UCUGUGUUUGUUAUUGUUUUGGUCAAGAUAGGAUUAGUAGGUGCUUCGUGGAACUGUAGUGGUAACUCAGCCAUAGGCUUCGUGCUGUUCCGAUUAAUAGGAAACGAAAAGCAGAACGCAAAAUGGGUUGCAAAAUUGUUGGAGAGAGACUAGGAAACGUAAUAUACAUUGACAUUCUGGGAGGCAAUCACUGAAGUGUUUAACGAUGAAACUUGCUAAAAGCAGAAGGUGACAUGCAGCUAAACAGUACAUAGUGUGAGAAAUUUUUUCAUUUGCAAAACAAGAUACUGAAGUAGCAGAAAGAUAUCGCAACUUCAGUAGUACCACAACAGAACAACUACAGGAGCGAAAUGUACACCUCACCGCUCUAAAUUGGGGCCCAGCUCAUCGCCAGACUGCAGAAGGACGUCUCUGUGAAAUAGGAUACCCUGGACUGUAUUUAAGCUCUUAUGGGGUGUGAUGGUUACAGAAA